UAGGGAAUUUUCGGCAAUGGGGGGAACCCUGACCGAGCAACGCCGCGUGAGUGAAGAAGGUCUUUGGAUCGUAAAGCUCUGUUGUUAAGGAAGAACGAGUGUGAGAAUGGAAAGUUCAUGCUGUGACGGUACUUAACCAGAAAGGGACGGCUAACUACGUGCCAGCAGCCGCGGUAAUACGUAGGUCCCGAGCGUUGUCCGGAUUUAUUGGGCGUAAAGCGAGCGAAGGCGGUUAGAAAAGUCUGAAGUGAAAGGCAGUGGCUCAACCAUUGUAGGCUUUGGAAACUGUUUAACUUGAGUGCAGAAGGGGAGAGUGGAAUUCCAUGUGUAGCGGUGAAAUGCGUAGAUAUAUGGAGGAACACCGGUGGCGAAAGCGGCUCUCUGGUCUGUAACUGACGCUGAGGCUCGAAAGCGUGGGGAGCGAACAGG
rnacentral:rRNA from 1 species